GGUAGUGAGAGAGAGGGGGUGCUGGUGGUGGUGAGAGAGACCCGCGGAGGCGGGGAGAGACGGGAGAGAGGAGCCCCGAGGAACGGCGUCGCGGCCGGGAAUCAAGCGCAGGGCGACAGAGCAAGAGAGAGAGAGAGAGGCGAGCGCAGUGGGUUUGGAGAGGAUGCGCGUGCUGCUGAUGGUUGCAGUCUUCACGGUCGUGUCCGCAGUGGGUCGAGGUUGGGCCAAUCCCAUCGCUGUGCAGAUGCGCGCUCCACACGGACGCAGGCUCCACGCGCCCCGCCUCCGCUCCCCGCUCACCGGGACGUCGCUGCUGCCCGCCACCUCCGACGUGUGGGUUGGAACCCGGGGCCGGGCUGCCCGUGGGGUUCCGGCCGGGUGGGCGAGAGCCGGAGGCGUUUCAGCGGCCCCCGCCGCCGCCGCCGCGGCCGCCGCCGCCGGGGGCCCCGCUGGGAAAUCUCCAUCGAGCUUCAGAAACCGCUCCGAUCGCGGCUUCUACAGGCAGCAGCAGCAGCAGCACCGUCACGGCUCGGCGCCUCUGACGAGGAGCAGGGGACACCUCAAGGACGGGUGCUUCGGCCUCAAGAUUGACCGCAUCGGGGCCAUGUCCGGACUGGGUUGCAAGCGAGGCAAGAGCCACGGAUGACGGAGUUGGUCGAUGGCGCCUUCACGCGGCAACGGCACCGUGCUGCAGCUAAACGAACCACGUGCGACUCGUCCUCAGUACACUCACACUCACAGUGUACACACACACUCACAGUGCACACACUCACACUCACAGUACACGCUCACAGUACACGCGCAGUACACGACUCGUGCGUGCACGGCCUCACGCGCGCACAGCACAAAGGCAAUCGGACGGCUCACUGUGGGGGUUCGCGUGUUGGGAUACUUCGCGUCUGUGGCGUUGUGGGGGGGGGCCGGCCCCCCCGGGGGUGGG